ACGGGUGAGUAACACGUGGGAACGUACCUUUUAGUUCGGAACAACUGAGGGAAACUUCAGCUAAUACCGGAUAAGCCCUUACGGGGAAAGAUUUAUCGCCGAAAGAUCGGCCCGCGUCUGAUUAGCUUGUUGGUGAGGUAAUGGCUCACCAAGGCGACGAUCAGUAGCUGGUCUGAGAGGAUGAUCAGCCACAUUGGGACUGAGACACGGCCCAAACUCCUACGGGAGGCAGCAGUGGGGAAUAUUGGACAAUGGGCGAAAGCCUGAUCCAGCCAUGCCGCGUGAGUGAUGAAGGCCCUAGGGUUGUAAAGCUCUUUUGUGCGGGAAGAUAAUGACGGUACCGCAAGAAUAAGCCCCGGCUAACUUCGUGCCAGCAGCCGCGGUAAUACGAAGGGGGCUAGCGUUGCUCGGAAUCACUGGGCGUAAAGGGUGCGUAGGCGGGUCUUUAAGUCAGGGGUGAAAUCCUGGAGCACAACUCCAGAACUGCCCUGAUACUGAAGGUCUUGAGUUCGGGAGAGGUGAGUGGAACUGCGAGUGUAGAGGUGAAAUUCGUAGA
rnacentral:rRNA from 1 species